rfam:Microtus arvalis 31kb genomic sequence encoding Xist gene, complete sequence.
AAAUGAAAUUUCAACCCCAGCAUUAGCCAUGGGGUAGACGAGCCUGUGGAAGGAGGCAGGAUUCCACCUCUGGCCAGGGCUUUAC